rnacentral:lncRNA from 1 species
CGCGCUGCACAUCCGCCUGUUGACCAUCGCGCCCAUUGGGCGCGAUGGUAGCCGCGCCGCACAUCCGCCUGUUCACCGUCGCGCCCAUUGGGCGCGAUGGUAGCCGCGCUGCACAUCCGCCUGUUGACCGUCGCGCCCAUUGGGCGCGAUGGUAGCCGCGCCGCACAUCUGUAACACAGUCGCGGCGUUGGGCGGGAUGCUCAGAUUGGCAUUUGCGUCUGUUACAUUGCGCGCCCACUUAGGCGCGAUGGACGUCCUCGGCCAUUAUUUCGAGCACAGGAGCCAUCCCACCUCGCGCCAGUGCGCUGGUUUAUCCAUUACACCAUGAAAUCGCCAAUUUGCGACUUGCUGGUUGCCAGAAUCGAACCGCCGACCCGAAGUUUAUUUCGGAAUUCGUGCGGUCCCGUCUCGAUACCAUUGUAACACAGCAAAGGCGUAACCCGGGAUGCUCAGAUUGGCAUUUGCGUCGUUACAACAUCCGCCUGUUUACCGUCGCGCCCAUUGGGCGUGAUGGUAGCCGGCUCACACAUCCGCCUGUUCACCGUCGCGCCCAUUGGGCGCGAUGGUAGCCGCGCUGCACAUCCGCCUGUUGACCAUCACGCCCAUUGGGCGCGAUGGUAGCCGCGCCGCACAUCUGCCUGUUCACCGUC